GUCGAGCGAACGGACGAGAAGCUUGCUUCUCUGAUGUUAGCGGCGGACGGGUGAGUAACACGUGGAUAACCUACCUAUAAGACUGGGAUAACUUCGGGAAACCGGAGCUAAUACCGGAUAAUAUUUUGAACCGCAUGGUUCAAAAGUGAAAGACGGUCUUGCUGUCACUUAUAGAUGGAUCCGCGCUGCAUUAGCUAGUUGGUAAGGUAACGGCUUACCAAGGCAACGAUGCAUAGCCGACCUGAGAGGGUGAUCGGCCACACUGGAACUGAGACACGGUCCAGACUCCUACGGGAGGCAGCAGUAGGGAAUCUUCCGCAAUGGGCGAAAGCCUGACGGAGCAACGCCGCGUGAGUGAUGAAGGUCUUCGGAUCGUAAAACUCUGUUAUUAGGGAAGAACAUAUGUGUAAGUAACUGUGCACAUCUUGACGGUACCUAAUCAGAAAGCCACGGCUAACUACGUGCCAGCAGCCGCGGUAAUACGUAGGUGGCAAGCGUUAUCCGGAAUUAUUGGGCGUAAAGCGCGCGUAGGCGGUUUUUUAAGUCUGAUGUGAAAGCCCACGGCUCAACCGUGGAGGGUCAUUGGAAACUGGAAAACUUGAGUGCAGAAGAGGAAAGUGGAAUUCCAUGUGUAGCGGUGAAAUGCGCAGAGAUAUGGAGGAACACCAGUGGCGAAGGCGACUUUCUGGUCUGUAACUGACGCUGAUGUGCGAAAGCGUGGGGAUCAAACAGGAUUAGAUACCCUGGUAGUCCACGCCGUAAACGAUGAGUGCUAAGUGUUAGGGGGUUUCCGCCCCUUAGUGCUGCAGCUAACGCAUUAAGCACUCCGCCUGGGGAGUACGACCGCAAGGUUGAAACUCAAAGGAAUUGACGGGGACCCGCACAAGCGGUGGAGCAUGUGGUUUAAUUCGAAGCAACGCGAAGAACCUUACCAAAUCUUGACAUCCUUUGACAACUCUAGAGAUAGAGCCUUCCCCUUCGGGGGACAAAGUGACAGGUGGUGCAUGGUUGUCGUCAGCUCGUGUCGUGAGAUGUUGGGUUAAGUCCCGCAACGAGCGCAACCCUUAAGCUUAGUUGCCAUCAUUAAGUUGGGCACUCUAAGUUGACUGCCGGUGACAAACCGGAGGAAGGUGGGGAUGACGUCAAAUCAUCAUGCCCCUUAUGAUUUGGGCUACACACGUGCUACAAUGGACAAUACAAAGGGCAGCGAAACCGCGAGGUCAAGCAAAUCCCAUAAAGUUGUUCUCAGUUCGGAUUGUAGUCUGCAACUCGACUACAUGAAGCUGGAAUCGCUAGUAAUCGUAGAUCAGCAUGCUACGGUGAAUACGUUCCCGGGUCUUGUACACACCGCCCGUCACACCACGAGAGUUUGUAACACCCGAAGCCGGUGGAGUAACCUUUUAGGAGCUAGCCGUCGAAGGUGGGACAAAUGAUUGGGGUGAAGUCGUAACAAGGUAGCCGUAUCGGAAGGUGCGGCUG
rnacentral:rRNA from 1 species